rnacentral:rRNA from 1 species
AGAGUUUGAUCCUGGCUCAGGAUGAACGCUAGCUACAGGCUUAACACAUGCAAGUCGAGGGGCAGCAUCAUCAAAGCUUGCUUUGAUGGAUGGCGACCGGCGCACGGGUGAGUAACACGUAUCCAACCUGCCGACAACUCUGGGAUAGCCUUUCGAAAGAAAGAUUAAUACCGGAUGGCAUAGUUUUCCCGCAUGGGAUGAUUAUUAAAGAAUUUCGGUUGUCGAUGGGGAUGCGUUCCAUUAGGCAGUUGGCGGGGUAACGGCCCACCAAACCAACGAUGGAUAGGGGUUCUGAGAGGAAGGUCCCCCACAUUGGAACUGAGACACGGUCCAAACUCCUACGGGAGGCAGCAGUGAGGAAUAUUGGUCAAUGGACGAGAGUCUGAACCAGCCAAGUAGCGUGAAGGAUGACUGCCCUAUGGGUUGUAAACUUCUUUUAUACGGGAAUAAAGUGAGCCACGUGUGGCUUUUUGUAUGUACCGUAUGAAUAAGGAUCGGCUAACUCCGUGCCAGCAGCCGCGGUAAUACGGAGGAUCCGAGCGUUAUCCGGAUUUAUUGGGUUUAAAGGGAGCGUAGGCGGGUUGUUAAGUCAGUUGUGAAAGUUUGCGGCUCAACCGUAAAAUUGCAGUUGAUACUGGCGACCUUGAGUGCAACAGAGGUAGGCGGAAUUCGUGGUGUAGCGGUGAAAUGCUUAGAUAUCACGAAGAACUCCGAUUGCGAAGGCAGCUUACUGGAUUGUAACUGACGCUGAUGCUCGAAAGUGUGGGUAUCAAACAGGAUUAGAUACCCUGGUAGUCCACACAGUAAACGAUGAAUACUCGCUGUUUGCGAUAUACAGUAAGCGGCCAAGCGAAAGCAUUAAGUAUUCCACCUGGGGAGUACGCCGGCAACGGUGAAACUCAAAGGAAUUGACGGGGGCCCGCACAAGCGGAGGAACAUGUG